rnacentral:rRNA from 1 species
AGUGAACGCUGGCGGUAGGCCUAACACAUGCAAGUCGAACGGCAGCACAGUAAGAGCUUGCUCUUACGGGUGGCGAGUGGCGGACGGGUGAGGAAUACAUCGGAAUCUACUUUUUCGUGGGGUAUAACGUAGGGAAACUUACGCUAAUACCGCAUACGACCUACGGGUGAAAGCAGGGGAUCUUCGGACCUUGCGCUAUUGAAUGAGCCGAUGUCGGAUUAGCUAGUUGGCGGGGUAAAGGCCCACCAAGGCGACGAUCCGUAGCUGGUCUGAGAGGAUGAUCAGCCACACUGGAACUGAGACACGGUCCAGACUCCUACGGGAGGCAGCAGUGGGGAAUAUUGGACAAUGGGCGCAAGCCUGAUCCAGCCAUACCGCGUGGGUGAAGAAGGCCUUCGGGUUGUAAAGCACUUUUGUUGGGAAAGAAAAGCAGCAGGUUAAUACCCCGCUGUUCUGACGGUACCCAAAGAAUAAGCACCGGCUAACUUCGUG